rnacentral:tRNA from 1 species
GUACCAUUAGCUCAGUUGGUAGAGCAGUUGCCUCUUAAGCAAUUUGUCCAGGGUUCGAGUCCCUGAUGGUGCACCA